AAGCAAAAGCAUGCAGUUCAAAAGCUAAACCUCCCAUUGGAGAACAGAAAAUUUAAUGAGCUUUUAAUGGAAUGCAAUGCUCAGAGUAGUAAAUUAUUUGUUAGUUGACGAUGCAAUCAGCAUGCUGAUUAAGGUUGCUUGGAUUUUUACUAAACAUUAACUGAAUGAAAACGGGUAGUCCUUGUUCUGCUUGGGGGCUUUAAGGAAGCAAAUGGACUUUCAGAACAGAGAUUGUCAAUAAAUUUUCACUUUUCCCAAUAGCUGCUUUGCUUUUUGUAUUCUUCUUCUCCCCUCUUUUUGAUUAGAAAGGCGAUUUUAUUGGCAAGCUAAAGAACAAUAAACCACUGUAUGAGAGCAGUGUAAUCCAGGAAUGUCCAUCUGGACCUCUGAAUGCCAUCCUCUGAGAAGAUGCCCAUGACAGCAAGCACACUGGAGCGCAACACCAUCCUGGGUGAAGAUUUGUUGCAAUUGAAUGUGGAUGUGCUGAUCUCUGUGCUCCUGGAUAUGGAGCUGUUAAUCUCUCCUCAAGAGCUGGAUGCAGGCCCAGGCUGCCAUGUAGCACUGAGUGAUGCCAUGCCAAUUCUAGACAAGGUCUUUAUUGCUGGAAAUGUUGCAUAAUGACAGUUUUAUUCAUGUGAAAACGCAGAAUACAUUUCAACUGUAUGAAAUUGUUUAUGUUCAUCAGAAAUGUUAUUUGUCUUCACAAAGUCUGGUUUCAAUGAACCAGCUAUGUAAUGGAUAUUAAAUAAACAUGGAAUUUUA
rnacentral:lncRNA from 1 species